UGCGCAGGCGGUUAUAUAAGACAGAUGUGAAAUCCCCGGGCUCAACCUGGGAACUGCAUUUGUGACUGUAUAGCUAGAGUACGGCAGAGGGGGAGUGGAAUUCCACGUGUAGCAGUGAAAUGCGUAGAUAUGCGGAGGAACACCGAUGGCGAAGGCAAUCCCCUGGGCCUGUACUGACGCUCAUGCACGAAAGCGUGGGGAGCAAACA
rnacentral:rRNA from 1 species